AGCGGGGCCGAAGUAGUGACUGAUCUCGAUUGUUCACAGUCAGUUACAGAUCGAACUCCUUGUUCUACUCUCUCCCCCCUUCUCACUACUGCACUUGACUAGUCUAAU
ensembl:Y_RNA Y_RNA Y RNA